GUCAGCGUGGCAUAGUGGUUCAAGCACUGGACUACAACUUUGGAGACAAGGGUUCAAAUUCCCACUUGGCCA